GGGGAUGUGGCUCAGUGGUAGAGCACAUGCCUAGUAUGCAUGAGGCUCUGGGUUUGAUCCCCAGCACACACA